GACGAACGCUGGCGGCGUGCUUAACACAUGCAAGUCGAACGGAAAGGCCCUGCUUUUGUGGGGUGCUCGAGUGGCGAACGGGUGAGUAACACGUGAGUAACCUGCCCUUCACUUUGGGAUAACUUCAGGAAACUGGGGCUAAUACCGGAUAGGAGCCCCUGCUGCAUGGUGGGGGUUGGAACGUUUCGGCGGUUGGGGAUGGACUAGCGGCUUAUCAGCUUGUUGGUGGGGUAGUGGCAUACCAAGGGUUUGACGGGUCGCCGGCCUGUGAGGGUGACCGGCGACAUUGGGACUGAGGUACGGCGCAGACUCCUACGGUAGGCAGCAGUGGGGAAUAUUGCACAGUGGGCGGAAGUCUGAUGCAGCAACGCCGCGUGCGGGAAGACGGCCUUCGGGUUGAAAACCGCUUUAGCCUGUGACGAAGCGUGAGUGACGGUAAUGGGUAAAGAAGCACCGGCUAACUACGUG
rnacentral:rRNA from 1 species